rnacentral:tRNA from 1 species
GCCUGUGUGGCUCAGUUGGUUGAGUGUCUGACUUCCACUCAGGUCAUGACCUUGCCGUUUGUGAGUUUGAGCCCGCAUCAGGCU